GAAGAAACUGGCAGAGCCACUAUCGCCACCUGUAGCCAUUGUCUUGUUGCCGCCUGCUAGGUGUGUGGUGACAAGGAGGUGAAGAAAGCAAGGGCCGGCUUGGACUCCUUUCACAGAGAGAUGUAUUUUCAUAAGCUCAAGGCACAAAUCCAUUUUAAGAGGAAACUAUUUUGAACAGAAGCCCUGACCCCAUUGUCGUUUUGCCGUUGUUCAUGGCUUUUGAGGAGGAAAGAACGUGGGGAGUUUUGUGCCCAAAAUAGUCCCCCUACCCCAGUUCUUCUCCUGGCUCCUUUUAAAUUGUUGGGUUUGAUUUUUCAGAGUGAGAUUUAGACCAGGGCUGGGGGAGCUGUGGUGCUUCAGCUGCUGUUGGACUCCAACUCCCAACUGCCUCAGCCAGCAUGGCCAGUGGGCAGGGGUGCUGGGAGUUGUAGUCCAGCAACAACGGGUGGAUCACAAGUUCCCCAUACCUGGUUCAGGUGAAGCUAUGUGCCUGUGCUGACACUGUCUCUGCUGUUGAGGGCUAGCCCUAAGGAAUUCAGAAGGGACAUAAAACACCCUUCAAACCCCACAGCCCAGCCCCCCUUUUAAGGGUCAGCUGCUAAUGUCUUCCUUGUAGCCAUUGUCUAAAACUGUUAGAAGCAGAAACAAAGCAUUCAUUUAAACUCCAAUGCUCCAGUCAGUUCUGAGUGUGUCAUCUGUGUCUCACACAUGUGUUUGGACCAAAAUACGUAAUUAGCCACUUGGUUCCUGCACGUGGGGGUGAGUGGAUGGGUCACUGGAAGAAGAGGUUUCAUGCCUGAGGAUUGGGGGUGGCUGGGGUGCCCCUUUGUCCCAAAAGCUCUUGGACUGCAGCUCCCAUCAGCCCCCAGCCAGUAUGGGGUCAGGAAUGAUGGGAGUUGGACUCAAUUGAAAAUGGACUUCAGCUAAGGAAUUCCAAGAUAGCCACUGGUGGCUGCAUUAAAUAGCAUCACACCUGCAUUUUAUCAUUGUAACACUUAACCUUUUAAGAUCAAGCCUAGCUGGGCGCAGAGCUGGCUCUAUGCAGUGGGUGUGAUCUUGUAAGAAGGAAUGGGUUCUCUGCAUCACUUGGAUCUGAAUCUUUCCAUCUGAACACUUGUGAGGGUUUGCCACUGCGCUCUUAACCCAGAACCGUUUGCUAGUACCGGAUUCUGUGGCACCAUUUCUCUUCUCCACCCCCCAGCCCACACCUUUUCCCUUUGCAGUGCUGAUCUCUCUGUUGGGCUUGCUGAGUGCUUCCCAUCUCUUCUCAAACAGAGAGCUGUGACCAUCGGCUUGUGUCUGGUAACCUGGGUCUCAUCCAAACUAGGGCUGAUGGACGCACUGCCCGGAUUUCUUAACAUAACCUUCAACUUGACAAUGUGACUAAGGGAUGGAUCCACUCUAUAUAAACGUUUUACAUCCUUAUACCCUGAGUGUGUGGACCCUGCACACUUGAUGAUCCCCAUGUAUUUAAGUGGUGGCUGGCCCUCGUCGUUUCUCAGUUUGCCUGGAAGCAACUUGAUGAGAACCGUGUGUCCCCUUUGGAGAUGCAGGAGUUGUUCACCCACUGAAUGUGUGAGCUUACUGCAGCUCUAAAUCUGGGCCUUUGAAAGAAUGCUAAGCAAUUCCCAUGCGACAUGCCUGGAGACCCAAGGAAGACAGAUGUAGCAACUCUUCCCACCUUUCAGUGAAUUCUGGAUUCUUCAUGUGGCCUCCUGCUCUUUGUAGCAGCUUCAUUGUUUUUAAAAUGGGUGUCUCAAUGGCCUCAGAAGUAGAUCUUAAGAGAUUGGCAGGUUAAUGCAGGCACAGCUAUUUGUAAAGUACGGUAACUCGG